AGUCUGAUGUACCGAGAUGGUUUGAACCUUUCGAGGAAGACGUUUCUGGUUCUGAAAAACACUGGUCAGAUAUUUCAACUUGGAGCCACGAAGAGGCAAAAUGAACUUCAGGACCUGAGAAAAUCGAACCAAGCUCACUUAUCAAAGUUCUUAUGUAGACAGUGGAUGAGAUUUCAAUACGCAUUUUCAUGUAUUGACUUUGUGUGUUUUAAAUUUUUAAUAGAAAACUAUAUCACAUCCAGAUUAUAUUUAUUAAUGAUUUACUUGUAUUUUAUUAGAGUGAGUUAUAUUUAUUAUUGAUUUUAAAAGCAAUAAUUAAUAAAUAAAAUCUGAGUAAGCUCUAAAUUUUUAAUAUCUCAUCAUAAAAUCUAAAGAUAACACAAAAAAUAAAAUGAUAAAAAGAAAUUCCAACACUAAUAAUAUAUUAGAAAAACAAAAAGAGCAUUUUUUACCUUAAGUUCUAAACCCUAAUCAUGCCCUAAACCCUAACUACAUACCUCAAACCCUAUAUCUUAAAUUCCAUUUUAUACAUAAAUCUUCAAUUUUAAACAUUUCAAUCCAAACACUCAAAUUAUAUAUCAUACCGAAAUAUUCAACUUUAAACAUUAUAAUACAAACCCUACAUAUACCCCUAGUCCUACUUAUAAGUCCAAACCCUAUAUCAUAUUCCAAACUCUAUACAAAAAGUAUUAAAUCAUAACAUUUUAAAUUUAUAACACUUAUAUAUACUAAAUUAUAAAAUUAUACAAACUAUAAAAUCUAAAUAAAAUCAGUAUAUUCAUAAUAUAACUUCAAUCCCUAAACUCCAAACUACAUACCUCAUAUUAACCUAUGUCACAUAAAACAUUAAAUCUUAAUUUUUAAUCAAUCACACAAUUUGAAAAUUUAAAUACAAAAUACAGAUUAAAAUUUUUAAAUUAUGAUAUCAAAUUAUUUAAAGUUUAAAUAGAUUAACAAUUAUUAUAAAUAAAAAAGAAGAUAAUUUGUACUGUUUUUUCUGAGCCAUUGAUUGAUUUUUAAAUCAAAGGUCCAAAAUCAGUCUCCUAUCUAUCUUCACCUUUGUUUUCUAUUGGUUUGGCGCGGAUCACCAUCUGUACCAUUAGAUCAUACUGAAUCAACGCUUGAGAUUUGUUUCUUUUUUUCCAAUUAUUUUCUGAGAACAGAUCUCGUGUUUGAGAGAGAGAGAGGGAGAGAGAGAGGCGAUUGGGUAAAGCUGUGCUCGACGCCCUAGCAAACCUCAGCCUCCUUAUCUUCCUCUUCCUCGUCGGCCUCGAGAUUGAUCUGAAAUCUCUCCGCCGCACCAGCCAAAAAGUGAUUUCCAUCGCAGCCGCCAGAAUGCUCCUCUCUUUCGCGAUGGGCGUCGUCACCUCUUCGCUUUCCCGGAAGUUUCUUCACCGGAAUCCGUACCUUCACCAGCGCAUACCACGGUGGACGGGAUGACUCGAAGCCAAUCGGAGUGGACCUUCCACAGGCUUCUCAAGGAGAUGUCCGGUUCCAAGAAGGCCGCUCCUGUUGCUGCCAAGGCUGCAAGCAGUUCAGAUUCGUCUGAGGAAGAUUCCGAUGAGGUUAGUUUAUGUUCUUUACUCUUUAGAGAUCAUUAAACAGCUUCUGAUGACAAGGAAACAUUUGAUUCAUUUACCACGUGGUUGAUUGGUUGAUUUGCAGGAAAGUGAAGAUGAAAAACCUGCACCAAAGGCAAAACAAGAUACCAAGAGUGCUAAAAAGGAUAGUAGUAGCGAUAAAUCCGGCUCUGAUGAAUCAGAGAGUGAAGAUGAGGAAGAAACCCCAAAGAAAAAGGUUUGCAAUGCAUCCUGCCUAUUAUUUGAUUGCAUAUUGCUUUUACUUGUUUUUUGCUGAUGGAAAGUUACUCCCUUUUAUGAAAACAGUGCUCUGAUGUCGAAAUGGUGGAUGCUGAGAUGAAACAGGUAAAGAAUAUUCCCUUCUCUUAACAUUGUAGUUGCUGUAAUCUCUUUCUGUAUCUUGCUUAGAAUUUUAGUUUUUGUUUCAUGGUCUUUCAGCCAAAGAAGGUACAACAACGUUUUAGUUGCUCGCCACAUCUCAAGCAGUGGAGAUGAUGGAGAUGAUGGAGAUGAUGUGCACCUAACGUGUUGGUAGAGUGACAGGCUCCACAAAGUUCUUGAGUUUGUGAGCACAGUUCAUGAUCUGUGUGAAGAUGAGGUUGAUUCAGAGGAUGAAUAUGAAGAAAACACUGAUCAGUUGACAUGAGAGAUUUGUGUUGUUGGUGUUAUGAUCAUGGGGAAAUUUGUGUUUGGUGUUUGUUGAACUUGAUACGUUUGGAUGGAAGUAGAUUUGUAAACUUUUCAUGUUUAAUGUAAAAUAUGCAAUUUCAUUUUUGUUUUUCUAAAUUAAAUUGUAUUUAUAAAAUUAAAUGGAAUAAAAAAGCUACAAUUACAAAAUCCAAAUCAGUAAAAUGGAUGACACAAUGCUAUUACAAAAUCGUUGUUUACUUAACUAUAGCAUACAACAGAUCCGCUAUCAAAAGGGUCGUACCUACGAUAACGGGCGCUGUCAGAGCGUUUUAGGGAACGCUAUUAAAACGAACUAAUAGCGUUUAACGCCAGCUAUUAAUACCCACAUUUUCUGUAGUGACAUAGCCAGAAUUCAGCGUGCGAACGACGUAUCUCGCUCUACAUCGAUCGACAGACAUCGAUAGACAGUCGCUUACACGCAUCGAUCGAUAGCCGCUUACCAGCAUCGGUUGACGACAACCAACCACACUCACAUACAAUGAAGUCUCAACCAGAUUUUCACACCAGGGGAGAGAUAGAUCAGUUGGUAGAAGGGAUCUACAGAGCUCUGGAAACUACAGAGGAGAUGCUUGAUAGGAGGUGUGAUGACAUCUAUUUUCCAAUGGAUCUUAGCAUUAGUGCUUUGACUUCCAAGAUAGAAGCUAUUCAAGGGGAAUUAGUGGAGAUUCAGAGUUACAUUCCCCGUCGACCAGAAGCAUCAGCAUCGAUCGACAGACGCAACAAUAAAUCGACCGACACUCACAGACAAAUAUCGGUCAACAACGCUACAAAUCGAGGGAGGCUAGUACAAAAGAUAACAUCAGAUAUGUCUGACACACACAACCAUGGAGAGGAGAUCUCAGCUGACACAUACGCCAUAAUUAUGAGACAUCAGUUCCAUCUUGAGAGUCUUGGAGAUAGAUUGCAAAAGAUAGAAGAUGCAACUACAAUAAUGAAGGACUAAUGGCGCAGAGGAGAUAAAGCAAUGCAAUACUUCACAGGUACAUGGUUGUUUCCCAAUAAGUGCAGGGAAGAGAUGGAGACUUGUUUCCCAACAAGUGCCAGCUUUCAACAUUACUAGCCCAAAUCACCUCCAAAGUCUAUCUAAAUGACUAUAGCAAAGCGCUGAGUGGGAGACAACCCACUAUUAGGUAAUAUUUACUUGAUUUUUCUUAAUCUACUAUUUAUGUUGGUUUUUAAUUAUUGCAGGUCAUAAAAAAAAAAAAGAAAUCCGAGUAGACGAUUGCUGUCAGUAUCGACCGACGAGACACUCUCGACAUCGAUCGACAUAACAUCACCUGCCGUGACCGAUAUCAACAUCCUUACAUCGGUCGACAUCCAUUCCGGUCUGGUAUAUUGUUCUAACUUGUUACAUUACGUACUUAUGAUUUAUUUAUCACCAUAACUCCGACUGAGGUUACACUAGGGUGUCGUGUGUAGUUUAAGUCUGGGGGGAGGUUUACUGAUAUAAGUUUAUUCAUGAAUUUAAAAAAAAUAUUUUCAAACAUAAAGUUUUUAUUGAGUCAAGAAGGGGAUAAUGAACUUAUUAGAUUUUUACUUGUUAUCUAACCACUAUUUAGCACCAUUCUAGAACUUACUGAUUGCAGAUAGUACUAAAGAUAUUAAAGUGGAUCUAUCUGUCAACUAAGUUAUUCAUGGAAGUCUGUCAAAUCUUAGUCAAUGAUCUUGCAAAUAUAAGCAGACUUUGACUAAGAGAGAAAAUUAGUAGAGAGAGAGGAUAGGAACUAAUGUUUACCUGCAGGUCCAGAUACUUGUUUGAAAAUCCUUGCAUCCUAUGAUCGAUACUCCCACGGUAAAGACUGCACUUUUAUUUAUGCUAAGAAAUGAGGUUGGUAGAGGGGAAUGUCAGACAAGAUUUGCUAUGUUGUUAGCUAGGUGAAUUUGGUUCCUAAGCUACGAUAUGAUAUAAUGUGCUUUUGUGAUCAGGACUUCUUAGAUGUGGAUUGCAAUACUGUAGAGGUGAUGAUUCUAAGUUUAAAAUUGUGUGAGUCCCUGCUGUUUUCAAACCUCUUUCAGAGAUACUGCUUCUUUGUUUUGCUUGAAGAACCUCAUCUCGAUCUGUCAAAUAUCAUUCUCAGCCAAAAAUACUUCUCCUUUAUCCACACAGGAGUUUCCAGCUUAUAUAGAUAUGUUCAUGUUGUUCUUGGAUUUUGGCUAUUUUCGGGGAAUUGUAGAGGACACAGAGAGAAAGGUCUCUUGUGUAUGGGCUCAAGGUCUCCUUGGAGAUCUUGAGAUUGUAAUUGGUUCCGAUAAACAAUAAUAUAGUACUUGGUUGCUUAUCAAUUGGUGCGGUGAGCCGUUCGAUCGCUGAGACGGUGACGGUGAGCUCAAUCAGACGCAACGGUGAAGACGGAUCAUAACAAUGAGUUCUGAGAAGUUUCCGGUCUUCAAUGGCGUUGCUGAUGAAUUGCGGCCAUGGAUUUCAUCAAUUGAGGUUGGAACGAUCAAACGCGACGGUGAGACGUCUGGCGCUUUGCGAAGAACUUCAAUGGAGGUUUCAAGAGACGUUUCAACAGAAUCGAUACAGUUCGGAGCAUUUACGAUGGGAGUCAUGGAGAUUCCUGUGUUUUCUGGUGAUGAUUUGAGACCAUGGAUUAAUUGGAUGGAGAAUCGAUUUGCGGCGGAAGACUUCACGGAUGAUCAAAAGAUGGCGUUGGCUUACGCUGUCAUCAGAGGAGAAGCUGAGUCUUGGUACAACAAUCGAGUAUUGCGGUGUCCUUUUCAAAAUUGGAAAGACCUCAAAGAUGCGAUGUUGCUGCGGUAUGGAAACCAUGACGAUCCAUAGCGAAUUGUUUUUUGCUUGGAGUUGGAAAGAAAGUGGCAAGAAACAGAGAUGACGAGGCCAUCACCAUCGUUCGUGGUAACUGAUUCAAUUCCAUAGGCUGAUGCGACUAACAUAGAAGAAACAGAUUCAUGUCUGGUGACUGAUUGUGAUCAUGACGACGAUGAUAACGAUCAUGAUGAUUCUGGUUUCAUGCAAGAAGCUCUACACUAUGAAGAAACGAUUCUGGCAGAGGAGGAGGAGGUAGAAUUGAAGCCAGAGGACAGAACAAGAUAAGUUUAGCUCCUAAGUCUUGGAUGUUUAAAUUCAAAGGGCACCUAGAGAUGGGUUUAGCUCAUAAGUCUUGGAUGUUUAAAUUCAGUGCUUGAGUCUGAUGUACCGAGAUGGUUUGAACCUUUCGAGGAAGACGUUUCUGGUUCUGAAAAACACUGGUCAGAUAUUUCAACUUGGAGCCACGAAGAGGCAAAAUGAACUUCAGGACCUGAGAAAAUCGAACCAAGCUCACUUAUCAAAGUUCUUAUGUAGACAGUGGAUGAGAUUUCAAUACGCAUUUUCAUGUAUUGACUUUGUGUGUUUUAAAU
rnacentral:lncRNA from 1 species